rnacentral:rRNA from 1 species
GGAAAGUGGGGGGCAGCUACACAUGCAAGUCGAACGGUAGCACAGAGAGCUUGCUCUCGGGUGACGAGUGGCGGACGGGUGAGUAAUGUCUGGGAAACUGCCUGAUGGAGGGGGAUAACUACUGGAAACGGUAGCUAAUACCGCAUAACGUCGCAAGACCAAAGAGGGGGACCUUCGGGCCUCUUGCCAUCAGAUGUGCCCAGAUGGGAUUAGCUAGUAGGUGGGGUAACGGCUCACCUAGGCGACGAUCCCUAGCUGGUCUGAGAGGAUGACCAGCCACACUGGAACUGAGACACGGUCCAGACUCCUACGGGAGGCAGCAGUGGGGAAUAUUGCACAAUGGGCGCAAGCCUGAUGCAGCCAUGCCGCGUGUAUGAAGAAGGCCUUCGGGUUGUAAAGUACUUUCAGCGGGGAGGAAGGCGUUGUGGUUAAUAACCACAGCGAUUGACGUUACCCGCAGAAGAAGCACCGGCUAACUCCGUGCCAGCAGCCGCGGUAAUACGGAGGGUGCAAGCGUUAAUCGGAAUUACUGGGCGUAAAGCGCACGCAGGCGGUCUGUCAAGUCGGAUGUGAAAUCCCCGGGCUCAACCUGGGAACUGCAUUCGAAACUGGCAGGCUAGAGUCUUGUAGAGGGGGGUAGAAUUCCAGGUGUAGCGGUGAAAUGCGUAGAGAUCUGGAGGAAUACCGGUGGCGAAAGCGGCCCCCUGGACAAAGACUGACGCUCAGUGGCGAAAGCGUGGGAGCAAACAGGAUUAGAUACCCUGGGUAGUCCACGC